rnacentral:rRNA from 1 species
AUUGAACGCUGGCGGCAGGCUUAACACAUGCAAGUCGAGCGGGGUGAUGGUGCUUGCACUAUCACUUAGCGGCGGACGGGUGAGUAAUGCUUAGGAAUCUGCCUAUUAGUGGGGGACAACAUCUCGAAAGGGAUGCUAAUACCGCAUACGUCCUACGGGAGAAAGCAGGGGAUCACUUGUGACCUUGCGCUAAUAGAUGAGCCUAAGUCGGAUUAGCUAGUUGGUGGGGUAAAGGCCUACCAAGGCGACGAUCUGUAGCCGGUCUGAGAGGAUGAUCCGCCACACUGGGACUGAGACACGGCCCAGACUCCUACGGGAGGCAGCAGUGGGGAAUAUUGGACAAUGGGGGGAACCCUGAUCCAGCCAUGCCGCGUGUGUGAAGAAGGCCUUAUGGUUGUAAAGCACUUUAAGCGAGGAGGAGGCUCUUUUGGUUAAUACCCAAGAUGAGUGGACGUUACUCGCAGAAUAAGCACCGGCUAACUCUGUGCCAGCCGCCGCCGAA